CAAAGUAGUAUAGAAACUCACGUUAGAUUUGAUUACUUUGACACGCACACACACACAAUAAUUCUUCCACAUACUCGUACUGGCCUCUUCCUUCCACCCAACCAUUCCUCUUCCACUGUUUCCAUCCCCACCCAGCUAUCCCCACACCCAGCCUGUCAUCCUCUUGCCUAGUCAUCCCUUUCUUUCCUGUCCUGCCUUAUUCCCUAUCCAAGUUAUUCUCCACUCUGUCCUAGCCAUCUCACAACCAGCCUGCCCUACACUACCUAUCCAUCCCUCGCUCGCCUGACCUUCCUCAACCUCUUGUGACGUCGCAGAUCUCUAGAUGGACGGUACUUGGAACUGAAUCCUGAGACGAAUCAUCUUGGCAGCGCGAGACUCAAGGGACGAGGCUGAUAUGAUUGUGUGUGGCGUAAAUAACAAGCCAGCGCCAAGUACACGAGUUGGGACGAAACGACACCGUGACGCAGUGGGCCUCUGGUCUCGUGGACAGUGAUCUGCCGCAAGAGGAAGAAUGCACGUGAGUUUUGUCCUGGCCACGGAAUUCCGGAUAACGCAGGUGUUUGGGAGAGUGGAUGAUCAGACAGGACUGAGUAGAUGCUGAGUCUCGGGAGUGAACUGUGUGGUGCAGGACUGUAGCGGUUAUGCAGUCUCUUUAUAACGAGAGACACAUCGUGGAGGAGGCUGGCGAGUGCUCUCAACACACGUGACGGAGCGGCGCCAUGGUAACUGUGACCGUGGCCAGGAAGUCUCUUGUGCUGAACACUGCAAUGUUGUGUUAUCAAGACUGUGUAUUGGUGCAGCGCAUACAGUCGGAUCACUAAGCGUGUUGUAGUGAUGAAACUAUGGAAACUAUGGCGAAUGAUUAUUGAUCGUUGGAAAAAAGCAUAGGUGUGAUAAUAAUUCGGUGCUUGAGUUACACUAACACUCCAUCACUACCGCCACCACGGCCAUCACCACCAUCACCACCGCCAUAACCACCGCCGCUACUAAGAGCUGGAUCAGCAGAGGAGCCGACACCGCACAGCUCGGCGCUCUUCCCCUGUGCCUGAGCAACACUGCGCUGACACGUCUGUCCGAUGCAGGGAGGAGACAGCAAGCGAGAGGCGAGGCUUGGCGGAGUUUUGACAUGUUAGGCGAUCCGUGUCGUGGCAUCAUGAGGGAAAGCAGCUUGUGUGCUGUCAUCGGAACGUGGGCGCUCACAACUUGGAAUCUCACACAAACCUCUCCCAGACCCACCUCUAAUAUCUUCCACCACGGUAAGCCGAGGGUCAUUAUCCACUCAUCUACCUGUACAUUAGCGGCGCCAGUUUCAGAAAGAAAAUUAUGGAAUGCCAUCGAUUGCAUCAAACUACCAACUUGUUUGAUCGAUCCAAGUUCGUUUGUAUGUGGGUUGGAGGAAUGUUAGCUCGCGCAAUUGCUCAAGAAACUGGGGCCAGCGUUACCACAAUAUGUCGAUGGAUCAGGAGGUGGAGGAAAGAGGGUCACAUAAACACCAAACCCCGUAGAGGAAGACCACGAAAAAAUAAAAUGUAUAUAAUGAAAUACUUGGGUGACCAUAUUAUACCAACUUCUCAAGCAGUUUCCAAUGUUUUCUCAAAAAAAAAAAAAAACAUAUCUUUCUCCAUGUAUCUGUUUAUCUCCCUUAGCUGAACUUUUAUAUCAACAAAAUAUAAAUAGCGACAUUCUUCAUUUCCCAUACAUUAACAACUAUAUAAAAAGUGUUGAAGCCUACGACGCCAUGUUCUAUCCAGAAGCUGACCAAUAAAUCAAUGACAGUUUCCUAAAAUAAAUAUUUGAAAUUAGGUAAAGUAUAUGUAUACAACAUAGAAAAGCUUUAUUUUUUUUUUUUUUUAUGUUUUUCAUAUCAAAUAUCACUGAAUCCUUUUCAAAUAGUAACAUCAACUGGUUAUGAUUAUCAUCCAAUUUAUGUGUUGUAUUUUGCCACAGAGCCAGACGCUAACCAUCGUUCAUUUACCUAUGCAUAUUGUGAAAUGUGCUUACUUAAGAAAAAUAAAUGGUAACGAAAG